rnacentral:rRNA from 1 species
UACGGAGGGGACUAGCGUUGUUCGGAAUUACUGGGCGUAAAGCGCACGUAGGCGGAUUUGUAAGUCAGGGGUGAAAUCCCGGGGCUCAACCUCGGAACUGCCUUUGAUACUGCAAAUCUCGAGUCCGGAAGAGGUGAGUGGAAUUCCUAGUGUAGAGGUGAAAUUCGUAGAUAUUAGGAAGAAACACCAGUGGCGAAGGCGGCUCACUGGUCCGGUACUGACGCUGAGGUGCGAAAAGCGUGGGGGAGCAAACAGGG